GCAAACACCCGACGUUGACACAACGUUGGAUCAACGUUGAAAAUUGGUCGCGACGUCGGCGACCUUCACACAACGUCAAACCAACGUUGAAACCCCGACGUCUAACAAACGUUUCAUUUUGACGUCGACUCGACGUCGGAUUUUGGUCGGUAAUCUGACAAUUGGUAAAUUUAAUUUAUAAAACCAAUACAUAUAAAUAUAAGCAUAAAGAGUGAGAAUUUUAAGUUUCUUUAGAAAGGGAAAAUUAUAAAUUUAUUUGCCUAAUCAAAACAACAACAGUGUCAUGUGGGUGGCUACCGUACGAUAUUCGAUAGGUGGCGCUCGGUAAACGGAUAGCCGCAGAUCAGUAUAAUAUAUAUUUGCUCUAUUUUCUUUUUAAUAAUAACUUAUCUCCUCGAAUUAGUCAAAGAAGUGUUUAAAUAAUUAAAAAUGAAGUUGUAACCAUUUUUGUGGGCUUCAUUUUAUAGUGGUUUUAUAGUGGUAAAUAAUCUAGUAAAUUCGAAUUGGAGUCUUAUCGGAUUUGAAAUUCAAUUGUAUUGACGGACAAAAACGACGGGUUGACAGCCAAAGUUGUAUAUUCCAAACAAAUAGAAAAAGUGAAUAUCAGGGAUUGUGAAAAUUAUGACAAUUCAACAACUGUCGAAAGUUCAGAGGAGGAAGAUGAAAUUAUUAAGAGGAAAAGAAGAAAAAAAAACACACAAGAUUUGAGACAGAUAGUGUGAAUGAUGAUAUCUCAUGUUGGAGAUGGUAAAGGUUCAGAUUAUGAUAUGCUUAAACUUUAAAGUAUGCCCCAGCUCGCCAUAGUGGAGGUGGACAAAAGAAGAAUGCUAAUUUAGAUAUAUGAACAUUGCUAUUUGUAGUAAUAUCAAAAUAUUCACAAUAUUGUUCCAUUCAACAUUCAGAUAAAAAGUACAAAGAAAAAUAAACAAUCAGUGAGUUGGAUAGAUGAGUGGAAAAUCGCUUAGGGUGAUCGAUUCAGUCGGAAAUAAGCCUUGGUGAUAUAAGAAAAACAUGCAUGAAUGUUAACCAUAAAAAAUGUCAGUGUUAAUGUUUAUGAAGAAUUUUGUAUAUCUAAAACAUGUUUUUUUUAAUACAUGAAGCGUUAUUUACGUACAUACUGUCAAGUUUAAUAGUUUCAAAAUACAUUAAUAUGUUAAUGUUACAUUUGUUAUAGUACCACAUUUAUUGUUUUGUACAUGUAAUUCGAAUUGAAAAUAAAUUGUUAAAUUUAUGAGAAUGCUUAUUUGUUUACCAUACUAAUGAGCUUAAAAUGAAAAAAAUCAUAUUCCAAAAAGUUUGAAAUGAGGUUAAAUCAUGGUCAGAUAAGGUUAGAUUAUGGUCAGAUAAUGGUCAGAAAAGGUUGGAUUAUGGUCAGAUAAUGGUCAGAAAAGGUUGGAUUAUGGUCAGAUAAUGGUCAGAAAAGGUUGGAUUAUAUCCAAAUAAUGGUCAGAAAAGGUUGGAUUAUGGUCAGAUAAGGUUGGAUAUCGGUCAUUUUAUGACGUUGUAUAGACGUCGGAUUCUGACGUCUAAAAAAAUUUCAAAUCCAACCUUCUGCCAACGUUUACCCAACGUCAGGGUCUAACGUCAGUACAACGUUGGUACAACGUCUUUUGUUU